CCAUUCCCUGCAAAGCCCUCCCUCUCAUCUAUGACCCUCCCCUGGCCUGAGUGAAGCCUGUCCAAUGUGGAGGCUCAGCCCAGUUGUUCCCACCUCUGUAAGCAUCUUUCAACCUGCCAGGCAGAAAUAAUCCCUUUGUCUUUGGAAGCCCACGAGGUCUGUUGACACAAUAGAAACAGUGCUAUAGCACUCACCACAGUGUACUGUAAUGAGCUGUUUACUUAUUUGUGUUUUUCACUACAUAUUGACCUCCUUAAGGAGCUUGACUUGAUCUUAUUUAUCUCUAAGUUUCCACAGCUAAAUAAAUAUUUGCUAAGUCAAAUUGAAUUCCCACCCCCAAUUCAUUGCAAUAUAUCAGGUAGAGGGACGCCAUAGAGUUCUUUGAUUUUAAGGAAACCUUGAUUGUAAAAUGUACCUUAGAUUUACUGUUUGGGGGGUCGAUAUGUUAUUCAGUGUACUUGUGCACAUGUGUACUAAUGAUGCACAAGAAUUCCGGCUGAGAAUUGAACUCUGGUUUGAACACUGGCUCUACCACUGACAAGCUCUGAGGCCCUGGGCAAGUGCCUUAAUUUCUCUGUGCCUCAGUUUCCUCAAUUGUAAAAUGAAGCAGAUGGAUCUACCUCAUACGGCUGGUUGUGAGGAUUAAAUGAGUUAACAUAUGUUGAGUAUUUUGAGUGUAUCCUAGCACACAGUAAAUACUUUUUAACUGUUUGUACUGAUAUAAUCAGAAACAGUAAAAUGUAAAUAUAUAUACCUUAAAUUCAUAUAAAAUUUAAUAUUCUAAAAGCAGACUUUCACAAGUCUUAGUUCAGGACAGUUUCCAUAGCAGUAGGUGCCUUCGUUAUUGGCUGUUCUUUAUCUGGGCACUUGAAGGGUUACUCUUUGUUCCAUCCACUGGGACCUUGCAUACUUUUCUUGUAUUAUCAUCCUUUUUUCUUUUCAUCAGUCUUGUUUUCACCUGAAGGGCUGGCCCAGUAUCUUAUAUACUUUAAAAUCAGCUGGCAGGGAGUCUAACAAACAGUAAGUACAUAAUAAAACAGUAAAUGAACAAAUGAAUCACCAGUGGAACCCACACAUAACACCUGGAAUCAAUGAAUAGAUAGUACAUAUUCGGAUAACUGGAGUUACAGUCAACAAAUUAACAAACCCUCACCUUCUUGUUCCACCUCUGACAGGCACAUACUCAUAUUUUGGGGACAGACUUAAACAGGUACCAGAUUAUACAUGCAUUUUGUGCCCAUUUUCCCUAUUGCUGGCCUUAUCUCUUAUCUGAGCUGGAAUGUGGACAAUUUUCUCCAUGCUCAUCUUCAUUAUUGAUCCAAUCACACUUUUUUUCUCUGUUUCCCAUCCUAAAUUGCAUUUCCUUACAUGAGCCUUUGCCCUGCACAUGACAACCUUUUACUUAUUCAGAAUUUUCAAUUGACUGUUUAUAUUUUGAUACUAUAUUCUUACUCAUGUGUCCUGCUCUGUUAAGGUAUGAAGUUUCCUACAUUAUUAUUAUUAUUAUGGUGGCAUUAUUAUCGUGGCAGGA
rnacentral:lncRNA from 10 species